GAAUUCUGCAGACCGAUGUCUUCUUCUACGUCCCUGGCCUACAGGGACAGCAGCGCUCUGCUACUGAAAAUGCACCUGUCCAUUUGCCAGCUCUGUCUCUGGCCAGCACAUCUUGGCAAUAACAACCUUACCCUCCAGUUCAGGCUUCUUCGCACUGAGUCCAGCUUCCCCGAACUCUGAACACACAGGUGUGAACAGCUUUGUGUGCCGCAGCGCUGGGGAGGCUUCAAGGUUUCUUCAGCCUGUUUCCUGCAGCUGCACUUUACUUUCACGGUUUCAGAAAGUAAAAAUCUAACCAGCUUCACCUCAGGCCGGGAAAACCGCCCAAUCCAAACAGGCAGGUUGGAAACAGGCACUGCACUAGUGUCUGGAAAUUUGUGAUUUUUUAUAUAUAAAAUGUGGGUCAGGUAACAGAUUUUUGCAGCAAGGGGAGCAGAAUGCGAGGGGUAAAAAAAUAUAUAAUAUGGAACAGACGGUAAUUUUCUGUGUACAGUAUUGAAGCCUGAGCCAACCAUGUGGACAGUUUCCAGAUUCUAUGAAAGAGCAGCAGUCCAGUAAAACUGCAUCCAUCCCUCUCAUCUUUAUCCACCCCAGUAGGAGUUUGGUCGUAAAGUGUGAAACCAUUUGAAAAACCUCAACUUUGGUUUCCCGAUGUGGCUUCUCGAUGGCGUCCAGCCCUUCCUCUCUUCAGCUCUUUUUCCUCUCCCUCUACCCCUCACCCCUCCUCCUUCCCACUAAAACUGUGUUUGUCCAUACGGGACGACUGAAAUAGAUAGUGCACCAGCCAAGCUGUACUAAGAGGUCAUCUGAUGCAGUGUGCUAAGAAUAAGGACAUGAGUCAACAGCGCUGUUCCUAAUUUGAGGGGACAAGCUCCUGACAGAGACAUUUCACUGAGAGAAGACAGAGAAGUUAGUCAAGUACCUGCGUGCCACUUCCUUUUUUGUUUUCUUAAUGUAUACUGUACAUUGGUGUGUAAGCUUCUGAUGGUAUUAAAUGUCAGAUAACUUUA